rnacentral:rRNA from 1 species
AGAGCGAACGCUGGCGGCGUGCUUAACACAUGCAAGUCGAACGCGCAGCAUUCUGUAGCAAUACAGGGUGUGGGCGCGUGGCGAACGGGUGCGUAACACGUGGAUAACCUUCCUUGAGGUGGGGAAUAACCCAGUGAAAAUUGGGCUAAUACCGCAUAACAUCGCGAUGGCACAUGCUGAUGCGAUCAAAGGCGCAAGUCGCCACAAGAGGGAUCCGCGGCCGAUUAGCUUGUUGGCGAGGUAAUGGCUCACCAAGGCAAUGAUCGGUAGCCGGACUGAGAGGUUGGCCGGCCACACUGGAACUGAGACACGGUCCAGACUCCUACGGGAGGCAGCAGUGGGGAAUCUUGCACAAUGGACGAAAGUCUGAUGCAGCAACGCCGCGUGGGGGAUGAAGCUUCUCGGAGUGUAAACCCCUUUCGACCCGGAAGAAUGCCCGCAAGGGUAUGACGGUACGGGUAUAAGAAGCCCGGCUAACUACGUGCCA